rnacentral:lncRNA from 1 species
UAGGGGGUUAUUUGACCGGUUUUAAAAGUUCAGGGGGUAGAAUAUCCGGUUUUAUAGUUUAGGGGCUAAGUAUUCCACCCUAGAUAUUUUGGGGUGUUAUGUAGCCUUUUUCCUCUAAUUUAAGUAACACAAACAUUGAUAUUUCAGUUUACAGGUACUGGAUAGGUACUAUUUAAUCGUCACAUCAAAUUCUCAUAUCCCAGUUGACAGUAUGUCUUAUUUUCUCUGGUUUGCUGAUACAAAUCUGGGCAGACAAUUGAGUACAAUGACAUUAUUAGCAUUGGACUAGCAGUACUCUUUGUCUUGUGUAUUGAUACUCAUGUACUCUUAAGUUAGCAGUUAGCACACUGUCCUUUCUGCAUGACUAAACCUACUCAUUUACUUUGUGUCGAAUGCAUGUUGUCGUCGUUUUAUUUGGAUCAUAGGCUUUAGCCCAGCUUUACUACACUACACAAUGCAGGUUGUCCUUGUUUAGCGCAGACCCUACCUCACUACUGGAUCCGGCUUCUUUGCCGAGAGCCGAGAGCCCUCGGCAAAGGCCUAAAAGCCCUCGGCAAAGGUUUUGCCGAGAGCCUGCCACGUGGCUCUCGGCAAAGAGCUCUCGGCAAAGAAGCUCUCGGCAAAGAAUUCUUUGUAGAGAGCCACGUGGCAGCUCUCGGCAAAGACUUUGCCGAGGGCCAGAAACGCCCUCGGCAAAGCCUACGGCGCUGUCGAGGAACGUCAAUAUUGACGUCGUCUUUGCCGAGAGCCGUGCUGGCAGGCUCUCGGCAAAGAUUCUUUAUUUUUUUAAAAAAAAGCCUUUGCCGAGAGCCUGCCAGCACGGCUCUCGGCAAAGGAGAGCCAGACAGCCAGGCUCUCGGCAAAGCUGUAGUUCUUCUGAACCCGGCUUUCUAUCUUUGCCGAGUGCCAGCCAUGCAGGCUCUCGGCAAAGUUGGGAAUUUAGUUUUAUUUUUUGUUUUUUCUCUGUUUUUUACAUGCACAGCCAUAUAUGUAUAUAUAUAUAUAUCACAAAUCCCUUUGUCUAUAUCACAAUCCACAUAUAUAUCACACAUAAAACAUAUCAAAGUCCACAGAUAUCACAAAUCCACAUAGAUAUGACAAAUCUACACAAAUCCACAUAGAUAUGAAAAAUCUAACAUUACGUCCAACAUAAACCAUAAGUUCAUAACAUAAACCACAAGUUCAUAACAUAGACCACAAGUCCACAAGAAUAUCACUCCUCGAAGUCGCUAGCGCCUCAUCUCUAGUGCUGUGACUCUGACCAGUCGUCGCUGUGGCCUCCGUCGUGUCCCGAGCCCCCAUCUGGCCAAGCCGACCAGGGUGAGUGACCCCAGGGUGUGGAGAGCUCGCACCUGCCCACGGCACCCACAUGGCCUGCCCUGGCACCGACGGGUACGGGUACGAGUACCCGGGGCGCGGAGGAGGGCUGCCGGAGAACCCGGGGUGGCCGUGCUGCGGAUGGGCACCAGGCCACGUGUGCUGCGUACUUGGGUGGCCAUAAGUAGUAACCUGCCACCCACUGCCUGGAGAAGGGGUCGGGUUCGAACCCCACGACUGAUGCUACAUAAUAUAAAAGCGAACUCAUUAGUAUGUGCAGGACGGCCGCAGAAGCCAAAGCAAUAGACAAACAUAUAUACACUCACCGGACUGCCUGCAGGGGUAGGAACAGAGGGUGGAACAGGGGGUGGAGCGAAGAGCGAGGCAGGCAGCGGAGGCGCUGUAGAGCUCUGGAUGGACUAGAAGUAUCCGACUAGGUUCGAGAUCUGACGCUGCGUGUGCUGCUGCUGUGCCUCCAUGUGGCGCCGAUGGGCCUCGUCUCUGGCCGCCAGCUCAGCCGCCAGCUCUCGCCGAUGAGCCUCCUGCAGCUCGUCCUGCCUGGCCCGCAACUCCUCUAGCUGCGACUGCAAUAUUACACCCGCAAUGGUUAAACAAUGCAAAAGGAGAUGUGUAUAUGUAAAACUAAUGGACGAUGGAUAAAGUUGUAUUUACCUGCAUCGCAGCUAUCUGCUGCACGGAGCUCGGCUGACGAGGCCGUAUGGGGACGUCGGAGGUCGAGCUGCUCCCCUGCCGAACCUCGCAGAGCGUGGGUACGGUGGCCGGGUUGAUUGCGCUGUGGGCAAUCAUGUACCGGCCGUGCUGCUUCCCUCCUCCCGUCCUCAUGAGCAAGUCCGUGUCCAGUGGCUCGGUGGUAAGGUCGAAGUCAUCCCCAUGGCGCGUGCGAGCUGCAGUGGCGUACGCGGACAUCUUCUCGUAGGCGGCAGUGUUGGUGUAUGCAUCGGGCCCGUCCUGUGGGUUGUAGACGUUGUUCGGAUCCGACGCUCGCCCCUUGUUAGCCAGGGCGUACCCAACAUACUCGCUGAUGGGCACGUUGCCGUGGGUCUUGCGCUGCGAGAAAAACACAAACAAGGUUGAUUAAACGUAAUGAGAAUAAAGCGUUAGCAAAAAUAAAUAAACAAACAAAAAAAGAAACAUACAUAUGUGUCCAUGUACCCUGGGAGGGGCACACUCCCCUGGUGGUGUGACGCCCCUCUCGUCGCAGCCAGGCGGUUCUCCCGUCUUCUUCUGCGCUCCACGUACACCUCCGGCCUCUGCCACGAGUCCACAAUCUGAGCCCAACAGUCGGUGUGUGAUUUGCACCAAUCAGCAGAAAACUGCAUGACAACGUGCAAUUGAUAUGUCAGAAGAUGAAUGAGAAUUAAUGUUUCAUACUUAUUUUUAAAGGCAAAAUAAAUGUUCCCUACUUA